rnacentral:rRNA from 1 species
GACUCUCGGCAACGGAUAUCUCGGCUCUCGCAUCAAUGAAGAACGUAGCGAAAUGCGAUACUUGGUGUGAAUUGCAGAAUCCCGUGAACCAUCGAGUCUUUGAACGCAAGUUGCGCCCCAAGCCGUUAGGCCGAGGGCACGUCUGCCUGGGUGUC